UGGGAAUUUUGGACAAUGGGCGAAAGCCUGAUCCAGCAAUGCCGCGUGUGUGAAGAAGGCCUUCGGGUUGUAAAGCACUUUUGUCCGGAAAGAAAUCCUUGGCUCUAAUACAGUCGGGGGAUGACGGUACCGGAAGAAUAAGCACCGGCUAACUACGUGCCAGCAGCCGCGGUAAUACGUAGGGUGCAAGCGUUAAUCGGAAUUACUGGGCGUAAAGCGUGCGCAGGCGGUUUGCUAAGACCGAUGUGAAAUCCCCGGGCUCAACCUGGGAACUGCAUUGGUGACUGGCAGGCUAGAGUAUGGCAGAGGGGGGUAGAAUUCCACGUGUAGCAGUGAAAUGCGUAGAGAUGUGGAGGAAUACCGAUGGCGAAGGCAGCCCCCUGGGCCAAUACUGACGCUCAUGCACGAAAGCGUGGGGAGCAAAACAGGAUUAGUACCCUGGUAGUCCCACGCCCUAAACGAUGUCAACUAGUUGUUGGGGACUUCAUUUCCUUAGUAACGUAGCUAACGCGUGAAGUUGACCGCCUGGGGAGUACGGUCGCAAGAUUAAAACUCAAAUGAAUUGAC
rnacentral:rRNA from 1 species